UGACGGUACCUGACUAAGAAGCCCCGGCUAACUACGUGCCAGCAGCCGCGGUAAUACGUAGGGGGCAAGCGUUAUCCGGAUUUACUGGGUGUAAAGGGAGCGUAGACGGAAUUGCAAGUCUGAAGUGAAAGCUCGGGGCUCAACCCCGGAACUGCUUUGGAAACUGUUUAGCUAGAGUACAGGAGAGGUAAGUGGAAUUCCUAGUGUAGCGGUGAAAUGCUUAGAUAUUAGGAGGAACACCAGUGGCGAAGGCGGCUUACUGGACGGUAACUGACGUUGAGGCUCGAAAGCGUGGGGAGCAAACAGGAUUAGAUACCCUG
rnacentral:rRNA from 1 species